rnacentral:piRNA from 1 species
GACCUAUGACCUCCACUGAGACCUCAAC